rnacentral:tRNA from 1 species
GAGACCGUAGCUCAGAGGAAAGAGCAGUCACUUCGGUGACGGGUCCCGCGUUCGAAUCGCGGCGGUCUCG